CCUACGGGAGGCAGCAGUAGGGAAUCUUCCGCAAUGGACGCAAGUCUGACGGAGCAACGCCGCGUGAGUGACGAAGGUUUUCGGAUCGUAAAACUCUGUUGUGAGGGAAGAACACGUACCAACUAACUAUUGGUACCUUGACGGUACCUCACCAGAAAGCCACGGCUAACUACGUGCCAGCAGCCGCGGUAAUACGUAGGUGGCAAGCGUUGUCCGGAAUUAUUGGGCGUAAAGCGCGCGCAGGCGGUUCCUUAAGUCUGAUGUGAAAGCCCACGGCUCAACCGUGGAGGGUCAUUGGAAACUGGGGAACUUGAGUGCAGAAGAGGAAAGUGGAAUUCCACGUGUAGCGGUGAAAUGCGUAGAGAUGUGGAGGAACACCAGUGGCGAAGGCGACUUUCUGGUCUGUAACUGACGCUGAGGCGCGAAAGCGUGGGGAGCAAACAGGAUUAGAUACCCUGGUAGUCCACGCCGUAAACGAUGAGUGCUAAGUGUUAGGGGGUUUCCGCCCCUUAGUGCUGCAGCUAACGCAUUAAGCACUCCGCCUGGGGAGUACGGCCGCAAGGCUGAAACUCAAAGGAUUGACGG
rnacentral:rRNA from 1 species